GCAUGCCUUACACAUGCAAGUCGAACGGCAGCGGGGGUAGCUUGCUACCUGCCGGCGAGUGGCGAACGGGUGAGUAAUACAUCGGAACGUGCCCUGUAGUGGGGGAUAACUAGUCGAAAGACUAGCUAAUACCGCAUACGACCUGAGGGUGAAAGUGGGGGACCGCAAGGCCUCAUGCUAUAGGAGCGGCCGAUGUCUGAUUAGCUAGUUGGUGGGGUAAAGGCCUACCAAGGCGACGAUCAGUAGCUGGUCUGAGAGGACGAUCAGCCACACUGGGACUGAGACACGGCCCAGACUCCUACGGGAGGCAGCAGUGGGGAAUUUUGGACAAUGGGGGCAACCCUGAUCCAGCAAUGCCGCGUGUGUGAAGAAGGCCUUCGGGUUGUAAAGCACUUUUGUCCGGAAAGAAAUCGCUUCGGUUAAUACCUGGAGUGGAUGACGGUACCGGAAGAAUAAGGACCGGCUAACUACGUGCCAGCAGCCGCGGUAAUACGUAGGGUCCAAGCGUUAAUCGGAAUUACUGGGCGUAAAGCGUGCGCAGGCGGUUGUGCAAGACCGAUGUGAAAUCCCCGGGCUUAACCUGGGAAUUGCAUUGGUGACUGCACGGCUAGAGUGUGUCAGAGGGAGGUAGAAUUCCACGUGUAGCAGUGAAAUGCGUAGAGAUGUGGAGGAAUACCGAUGGCGAAGGCAGCCUCCUGGGAUAACACUGACGCUCAUGCACGAAAGCGUGG
rnacentral:rRNA from 1 species